CAGACGGGUGAGUAACGCGUGGGAACCUACCUAGUAGUAUGGAACAACACAGAGAAAUUUGUGCUAAUACCGUAUACGCCCUUCGGGGGAAAGAUUUAUCGCUAUUAGAUGGGCCCGCGUUGGAUUAGCUAGUUGGUGAGGUAACGGCUCACCAAGGCGACGAUCCAUAGCUGGUCUGAGAGGAUGAUCAGCCACACUGGGACUGAGACACGGCCCAGACUCCUACGGGAGGCAGCAGUGGGGAAUAUUGGACAAUGGGCGCAAGCCUGAUCCAGCCAUGCCGCGUGAGUGAUGACGGCCCUAGGGUUGUAAAGCUCUUUCAACGGUGAAGAUAAUGACGGUAGCCGUAGAAGAAGCCCCGGCUAACUUCGUGCCAGCAGCCGCGGUAAUACGAAGGGGGCUAGCGUUGUUGGGAAUA
rnacentral:rRNA from 1 species